rnacentral:tRNA from 1 species
ACCUGGCUGGCUCAGUAGAGCACGUGACUCUUGAUCUUGGGGUUGUAGGUUUGAGCCCCAUGCUGGGUG